UUGAACCUGAUUGUUUCCACCUCGACCAUCAACCUUGGUUGGCGCAGCGCAGCGGCCGUAGUCCAUGUCCAUUGCGGAUUUUGCGUAAUCACUCAUAAAGAAUACUUUAGUGAAUUUAUUUUAUACGGAGGAUAAUCUCUUCCGAGUUCUUAAUGGAUUGAUGGAUUUUAAAGAUGUAAAAAGGUUCUUCCGAAGGAAUUCUGCUAGUAUAAUCUUCCCGUCAUUUUUCUUCUACUGUAUAUGGGCAGAUUGGUCACGCACCCAGAAGUGGAAACAAGGUAAAUUAACUACAGCUGUAGCAGACAUCAAGGCAAUCGAAAACGCAAAACUUUGAAAUUAAAUCCUGAAGCGCAGUCAACAAUAUUGAAUAAUGCCGCCACCACCAAGGAAACACAAUCUUUUUGGAUUUCAAUUGAAGUAUUAUAAAUACAGUUUCCCAAUCUUCUUAGCAGUUUUUGCUUGUGGGAAAUUUUUAGAUGAUAAAGAAAAAGAGAGAACUUCCAGAUUCCGAGACAAAAGUGCCAUGUUUGGUGGAAAUGUCAAGCCUGGCGACCCUCCAUCUUGGCCACACACUUUCUUUUAAGCACAUUAACCCUAGAAGUAUGUAUAGUUGAGAUACUUGAAUAAGUUUUGUUAAAUUAAUCGCAAUUUCUGUUUUGAAAAUAAACUGGAUGUGACCCUGUUCA